ACCGAGUUGAGGGCGUGUACCAAAUGCUGGUUUUUGCAGAAAGAAAACUGUACCAAGAACUUAUUUGCAACACGAGGACCUGUCAUGAGAGAGCCUCGGGAUCCAGAAUUUGAAUAAGGACUGGUUCAAAUUUUAACUAUGAAGUUGAAAACGUGCAGGGGUUCUGGUGUAAAAUAUGGCUCAGGUCUUGCGCUAUCCAGGAGGUCUCUGGAGAGCUUGCUUCUCCACUGUUUUCCUGUGGCAUUGUGCGGCCGCAAUGAAGUCAAAAACACACAAGAAUCAGCUUGCCAGGUCCCACGUAAGUAUUCCUAUCAUGAAAGUGCCCACCUUGCUCUUAUCAACUUGAUAGUUGAAGUAGAUAAAGCAACUUGUAGUGUUGCUGUAAGUGGCUUUUUUCAAAAUGAAUGGCUAAAGGAGGCGUAUACAUUUUACGCGACUUUGCUGAAUGAAUAGCAAUUGAUGUGUGAGGCAAAUUUGCCUGAGUGUCAACUCCCCAUGAAUAUAGGUAUAUCCGGCCCAGACCAUUAUGGCAAAUGUUGAAGGCACCCAAAGUACACCAGAAAUGACGGACGAUACAGGACUGGCUCGGUCUGGUCAAAAUCUGAAUGGCCAGGCGCGUGUCUCUCUUUGAAGCCACGCUUAUUUGUUUGACCCAAAUAUAUUGCAUAAGGAAACGAAUGAGGAUCCACGAAUCCACAAAUGAGGAGGCUGUGCACUGGCACUUCAGAAUAGUCCAAUUGAGUUGUGCAUAUAUCCUUCUUGCAAAAUUCAAACUUGGGCGGUUCACUACCGCUUUUGCUCGUACCAAAGCAAAGCUGCGGAAAGAAAUGCUUAAAUGAAAAUGUGACUGGUUUGCUAACCAUUAAAGUGC
rnacentral:lncRNA from 1 species